UACCCCCCUUUCACUGAUUAUUAAUAUGAAAUAUAUGAUGGCCAAAGAUGAAUUGUGUUGAUGAUAAUACCUUUUAAAAGGGAUUUUCAUUCAGAAAUACAUUACUAAUACAUUAGUAUUAGAUUCUUCUGGCUGCCAUAACAGAUAACCACAAACUUGGUAGCUAUAAAAAUAUCUCAUUUCUGGAGAUUAAAAGUCUAAAAUCAAGGUGUGGCCAGGUUGGUUUUUUUCUGGAGGCUCUGGGAGAGAAUCUGUCCCAUGCUUCUAGCUUCUGGUGGCUGUCUGCAAUCUUUGGUUUACAGAUGUGUCACUCCACUCUCCACCUCUGCUUCGCAUGAUCUCUCUCUCAUAAGGACAAUGUCAUUGGGUUAGGGUUUACCUGAAUCCAGGAUGGUCUUAUGCCAAGAUCUUUAAUUAAUCUACAGUGACCCUUUUACAAAAAUAAGGGCACAUUUAUAAGUUCCAUUUAGAUAGACAUCUUUUUGUGGGAUACUUUUCACCCACUGAAGUUACCAAAGGAUAUUUUAGGAUAAACUUCAUAAAAUGUGUAGGAAAUGAUUUCUUUGCUGAGAUAUUUUAAAUAAAAUUAUGUCUUCACUAAGAGCUGAUUCCAAGAUUACAUAGUUACAAAAAUUAGGGUGAUUUGGUAUUUGAUUCCAUUAUCCAAAACAGAAGUAAAAGGAAGUUUAGAGAUUCAUUGAGCUAGUCUUAUUUUGUAGAUUAGGAAGCAACUAUCUGGAUAGGAUUUUUCGUGUGAGUCUUUAAAUUCUGUGUCUACUGUGAAUUCAUUUGGUUGUUAUUCCUUUACAGGAAUGUAUUACUUGGACAUGUUUACUUUGAUAUGCAAACUUAGAACUGUGAAUAGAAUUUAUCUUUUACUAUCAUUUUACAUUUGUAAACUUACAAAUAACUGUGGACAAAUUACUUUAUCUUCAAUGUUAGACUAUGCUUUCUCUGGGUUUUAAACAAUGGGUAGAUUUGGAAAAUAUUCUGUAUUUGCAAAUAUAAAAAUGUGUAGGUGAAAAUUACAGGUAUAGUCUUGAGUAAUAAGUAUAGAGCAGUCUUGUACUCUGUUCACUACUUAGAAAGUAUAUUGAUUCUCUAGUUGUAACAGUGAUUGUUGAGAGAUGUUUUUACUUUUUUUUUUUUUUUUUUUUUGGUAAUUAGAUAAGAGAACAAAUUAUCUUAUAAUGGAGAUCUGAGUUCCAGGAAGUCAAAGUAAACAACUUUCUUACCUGGUAUUAUUAAUGCAAGGCUCUUGUGACUUGGAAUAUUGGUGAGAUGAAAAAACUUCCCCUCUAACCCAGUCUGGAAACCAUUCCACUCCAUAGAUUGGGGGAAUCACUGUUCUAGUUCGUUUGUAAGAGUUGAAUUCCUGCUAUUUUAAGAGACAUUUUGGAGGAAAUCCAUACUCAGAGGAAGUAGGGUGAUCUUCCAUGUUUUCCAUAAAGCAUAAAAGAAAAGAAUUCUGUGAAUUAAAGGGUGCUAUAGAGCAUACCUUUUAGAAACAUCUUAGGUUGCAUUUGUGUUUUGAACAUUUUUCAAGAGUUAUUGGAUACAUAUUUUGACAUGAAUUUUUUAAAAAUUAAAUUGAAUUUCUUGAUUAAAAGGUGAUUAUUUAAAAGAAAAAAGUAUUGAUAAGCUGGAGAGCCUGUGGAGCCUUGUGAUUAUUGUUAAAAUCUUUAAGUAGGAUUAUUUUAAAGAAUGUCCUAAAAAGAUUUAGUCCAUAAAUUUUCUAAGCCUUAUAGUAAAUCUUUUUGAACUUUUUUUACCUAACAUGAAAUUCCAUAGAUACAGAGUAUUCCCUUUAUAUGGUGUUAGUAAGCAGUGUGCUGUGUUUCCUCACAUACUAUUUAUGUUUUCUUUUGUUAGAUACCUGGAAAUCUUUUUAAUGUAUCUGAUUAUGUUUUUAAAUUAUUUGCAAGUACAGUGUUCCUGAGUUUAAAUAUAGAAUAUCAUUUUGUGAUAAGAGAAAUUACGUUAGCUGUCUGGACUCUUCCUCUUCUUAAAGUUAUUUCUGGAAUGUGCUUAGUCUGUCAUGAAGUACAUUAAUAUAAGUAGCUUAAUGCAGUUUAUUUCUAAUAGAUAAAUAGCUUAAUGUAGUGUAUUUCUUGUUUGAAUUUAACUGCCCCUGUGCUUGAUUUUUUUUGUCUUUAUAAUCGUCUGAAGACAGGAGGGGAGAAGAAAAGAGAUCCUUACUUUUAUUAUACCACCUAAAUAGUGGACCUUUAUUUUAGAUAAACAUUUAAGUAAAAUGUUGAAAUAGAAAAAUGAAUUCAUGUUGAUUAGGUUAGAGAGCAUUUAUAAUCUCUGAGGCAGUUAAAAUUUCCUUUAGUGAAACAAGAAAGAAAUAUCUUGCAAGUAAUAUGAGAAAGGUUUUUCAAAUGGAAAUUUAAAUAUGACCUAGAAACCAUGGGCUUGUAGAAAAAGCAUUUAACACGAAAAUGAGGAUUUCUGUAUUUGUGACUUUGGACUCAAUAAAGCAAGUGGUUUUAAGCAUUUGACCUCAUUUCAAGUGAAAACAGUACUUGUCCUAACUCCAGUUAUUCUAGCCUGUCACCUGUCUAGCCUAAUUUCAGAACUAAGUCAGCCUCCUCCAUAUAUCCAUAAAGUUCUUAAAUAUAUAGUCAGUGUCAAAUAAAUGUAUAUGGAAUGAAGUUUUUAGUAUAGAAUGAAGUGAAUGUCCUAGAAAAGAUCUACUAUGUAACCAUAAGCUGACUUUAGGAAAUAAAUCCCAUGCUUCAUAAUGGAAGCCCUCCUAAACUAUUUUCUGCCUUAGUUUUAGUUUUUUUUUAAUUUGCUAUAAUUUUAAUACUUCUAUCUGUAUCUACUUGUAAAUAUGUUAUAUGUCAUUAUAAUAGGAUGUGAUUUCAAAUUUAUCCCUGUUUAUUUAAAAUAAGUAACUGUCAACCAUUAAUAUAUAAUAGCAGUAAAACUUCUGAUGCUUAUUAAACUUUUAAGGGAAAAAGGAUUUCAACCAAUUACGCAUAAUUUGUAUUAUUUUUGUUAGACUGCAUUUUAGUACUUUAGGGAUAAAUGUUAUUUUUUAUUUAGGGUACUUUUUAUGAUUUAAAUGUUGACAAUUAGACAAAUAUUUCCAGUAUAUUAAAUGAGAGGAAGAAAAUUAUAAUAAAAUUGUAUAGAUGAUGUAUUUUUAACAUAUAUCCAUGAUCCAAAUACUAAAUCUUUAACAUUUAAAAAUUAUUUCUAGAGAAAGAAAUGUUGCCACAGUGAAGAAAUCCAAUAACACUGUUAUAGUUUGCUUUUUAAAAAAUGGACACUUGAUGAAUUUAAUGUUAAUUUGAGCCUAGUACAUCACCAUCAGGCAAAAAGAAAUACGACAUUUUUCUGAGGAUAAAUAUUAAGCAUAGUAUUUAUCUUUUGCUCACUGACUGAAACUUUUGUGAUACAGCUGAACUGUAUUGGGUGUGUGAAGGCAUGUACAAAAUGAGGAAGAGAGGGAAGAAAAGUAAUGGUAACAAACAAUUGCUGUCAUUUAUUGAACACCUACAGUGUUCAAGGCAUUACACUGGCUGAUUUAUAAAUACCAUCUCAUUUGAUCCUCCUCAUAUUUGUACGGUGCGGAUACUGAUUUCUCUUUGACCACUGGAGAAGCUAAAGCUGAGGCAGACCACGCAAAUCACCCAAAGUCAGCAUCGUCACUGAAGGACAUAGCUUGGCCUUACUCCCCUGCCUGUGAGUUUUUAAGUGACGCUCUGCCUCACUAUGAAAGGUUUUCAUUAAGAGAAGUAAAAUCUGGAGAGCUGUUCAUCUGUCUUUACCAUGUGUUAACCAGAACAUUCAUGGCAUAUUAUUGUUUGUAUUGGAUGGAGUCGUUUUUUUUAAAUGCUAGCACCUGUUUAAAAGAACACGAACAGAUAAUAGUUAUAAGAGAAAUGGCUAAAAGAGUAGAGAUGAUGUUUAACUUGGAGAAUUAGAGAGUCUACAGUUUGAUAGGCUCUCAUAAUUGAAGAAUAAUUAUUUGGAAGAAGGACUGGACUAUUCUUCAUUCCCAGAAGUUUAUAUCAAGGACCAACAGAUUUCAACUGAUAAAAAAUAUAUUGUCUGUUUAGUCUCUGUAGGGGAAUGGAUCCAGAAAAAAGUAAAUUCCCUCACUCACUGGAUGCAAGAUUUCUAUUUAUCAGGAAUGCUUCAGAAGAGAUUCAGAUAGUAGUAAAACACCUGUAAAAUAUAGAACAUUCAGGCUGGCAUCAGACGACCUGGAUUCAAGUCCUGACUGCCUUCAACAUGUUAUGUGAUAUUAGGAAAGGCCUGUGGAAGUGAAAUCUGGAGCUACACUGAAGCCUAAGAGACUGGCAAAACUUAAAAUGAAGUCCUAAUCUAUGGGGCUGCUGAUACAAAGGCUACAAAGGCCGGUUGAAGAGAGCAAUCUGUGAGGACACCUGGAAGCUCUUUGGUCUUUUCAGAGGCUAAAGGAAGUAGAAUUCUGCUAAGGAGAUUGUCUGCUUUCAAGAAAGGGUUACAAGAUCUGGGGUUUGCCGCACGUCUGUUCCACCCUGUGUGCGGUGCUGAGAAGGCUUCCCGGCACCCAGCCGUCGCUGCCUGUCCCUCGGGCGGCGCUGAAGUGUGAGGCUGCUCAUGCUGCGAGGCCCAGCCUGGGGCAUGGGGUGCACAUGCUGCAGCGACACACCGACUCUCCACGCCUGUCCGUAACAGCUGUGAAAUCUGCCCCUGGUCUCCUCUUCAGGUAAGAAAUUUCAUCAGUCAGAAUAACCCCUGGCCCUUGAAUAGAGCUUUGUAUUCAUAAAAAUGUUUUCACCUAUGUGAUUUCAUCUUAUGGAUUCAUAGAAGCCAAAAGCAGAAGAAAUAUCAGGUGUUAGGGCCCCCAUGGAGCAAAAGGAGAAAUUGAAUCCAAGAGAGGUGGUCACUUUGCCUAAAAUCAAAUAGCUACAUAGCAGCAGACCUGAAACCAGUAUUUAGUUCUGCUGACUCUCAACCCAGGGGCUUUUCCAUUACCAUCACAUGUCAAUCUCACUUAUUUCCCUGGGUCUCCUCCAUCUUUUUCUUCUGUCUGUCUUUUAAAAUAAGAUCAAUUUGUCUUUUUUUUCAUUUAUGCAUUAAAGGUGAUCUACUUCUAUCAAAACGUAGUAAUAUCUUACUUUUGUUGAUUCUUUUCAAAA